UACGAAGGGGGCUAGCGUUGCUCGGAAUCACUGGGCGUAAAGGGUGCGUAGGCGGGUCUUUAAGUCAGGGGUGAAAUCCUGGAGCUCAACUCCAGAACUGCCUUUGAUACUGAGGAUCUUGAGCAUGGGAGAGGUGAGUGGAACUGCGAGUGUAGAGGUGAAAUUCGUAGAUAUUCGCAAGAACACCAGUGGCGAAGGCGGCUCACUGGCCCAUUACUGACGCUGAGGCACGAAAGCGUGGGGAGCAAACAGG
rnacentral:rRNA from 1 species